rnacentral:rRNA from 1 species
UACGAAGGGGGCUAGCGUUGUUCGGAAUUACUGGGCGUAAAGCGCGCGCAGGCGGUUUUUCAAGUCAGUGGUGAAAGCCCGGAGCUCAACUCCGGAACCGCCAUUGAAACUGUAAAACUUGAGGACGAGAGAGGUGAGUGGAAUUCCCAGUGUAGAGGUGAAAUUCGUAGAUAUUGGGAGGAACACCAGUGGCGAAGGCGGCUCACUGGACCGGAACUGACGCUGAGGCGCGAAAGCGUGGGGAGCAAACAGG